CGGACGGGUGAGUAACGCGUGGGUAACCUGCCUCAUACAGGGGGAUAACGGUUAGAAAUGACUGCUAAUACCGCAUAAGCCCACGGCUCGGCAUCGAGCAGAGGGAAAAGGAACAAUCCGCUUUGAGAUGGCCUCGCGUCCGAUUAGCUAGUUGGUGAGGUAACGGCCCACCAAGGCGACGAUCGGUAGCCGGACUGAGAGGUUGAACGGCCACAUUGGGACUGAGACACGGCCCAG
rnacentral:rRNA from 1 species